UUACUGGCUUAUUUGUUUGUUUCCAAAUUUAUAUUCGGUGUGGCUUAAAUCCGUUCCUUUCUCCUUAGCUUUGUAUUGACCAGGCCUCCUGACUAUGGUUGUUUUUGUUAUAUGCAUUAAUGCAACAGAUGCCAGUACAUUAUUUUGUAGCUUGUUUGGAUGAAUAAAUAUGCAAAACUGUGAAGUAUUACAUUUUACUUUUUAUCAUAAAAAAUAAGGGACAAUCUGUUGCUACCCUAAUUGAGGUAAUGUGUGGUUUACAGACUUGGCAGUUAUAACAGUGAAUUUUAAAUGAUUGUAUCCAAUAAACACUGCAAAACAAAAUAUUGUAAAUGGUUGCAAAAAAAAAUAAAAAUUCGAAAAACACUCCAUAAAAAAAGAGAGGGGCAUGAGGGAGGGAGAUGUGGUGUGUUUUUGCGAUUUAACUCUUUUAGUGACAGAGUGUGUAUGAUCUCGGUAUCUGAUUAGCCAGUAACAUAAGCAAAGAUAUGCAAACAUCGAG